GCCCGGGUAGCUCAGCCGGUAGAGCACGUCCUUGGUAAGGACGGGGUCGUCGGUUCAAGUCCGAUCCCGGGCUCCA
rnacentral:tRNA from 1 species